rnacentral:rRNA from 1 species
CCUACGGGUGGCAGCAGUGGGGAAUAUUGCACAAUGGGGGAAACCCUGAUGCAGCGACGCCGCGUGAGUGAAGCAGUAUUUAGGUAUGUAAAGCUCUAUCAGCAGGGAGGAAAAGGACGGUACCUGAUUAAGAAGAAACGGCUAACUACGUGCCAGCAGCCGCGGUAAUACGUAGGGGGCAAGCGUUAUCCGGAUUUACUGGGUGUAAAGGGAGCGUAGACGGUGCUGGAAGUCAGAAGUGAAAUCCCGGGGCUCAACUUCGGGACUGCUUUUGAAACUGUGUGACUAGAGUGAAGGCGCGGUAGGCGGAAUGCAUGGUGUAGCAGUGAAAUGCGUAGAUAUCAUACAGAACACCAGUGGCGAAGGCAGCUUAC